AUACAUUUAAUGAUGAAGUCUUUAAUUAGGACUAGAGUUUCUGAUCUCUGGGUUUUUACACCCAGAAGUUGAAGAAACCCUUGGCUGUCUGAGCACCUAU
rnacentral:snoRNA from 1 species